GGUGUCCCAAUGUUAAUGGUGCAAUACCCCAACUUCCUGCCUGUCAUUGUAAAAACAGGACAUAUGAACAUGAAUAAUCAAAUCACAGUGCAGCUGAUGUGGUUGUAUUGAAAUGAGAUAUAUUCCACAGUAUCUCCAGCAUCCUCUAAAUCAUUAAAGACAGUUACAAUUUCAACGUGAGGAGCAAAUGAUUAAAUCCACAUGCAAAAAUUAAGCUCACUGAAAUAUUGGAGAAAGUUUUACAAGCACUCCAUGGGAUGUUGACUGCUUCUUUCUUUUAUAGUAUGCACCCAUUCCUAUCUCUGGGAGCACUGGCAUGAAAUUAUAUAUAUAAAAACUACCAAAAACAAAAAAAAAAACCAAACAGGAACCAUCUUUACUUUUUCUUCCCUGACUCCCAAAUACUAAUCUAUUCAAGUAGCUUACUCACAAAGUUUGAGCAAAUAGGGCUUACUGAUAGCCUGGAUGGUAAAGAAAUCUGGGCAUGGCUGAG